rnacentral:misc_RNA from 1 species
UAUGGCUUGUCACCCCAUGAAAAAAUAACUGCUGGAGGAUUGAAGGAUGAGUAUAUAAAGAAAACUUAUGGAAAGUCAGAGAAGUUAUCAACAUCAAUUGCUAAGACUCUCUUAGAAGGAUCACAUAUUAUUGAGCAAUUCAAUUCUGAUUCUCCAUCAAGUUUCAUUGACAUAGCACAUCAAGUUGGAAGCUGUGGAUUUGAAUAUGGCACUGCAUGGGGUCAAAAGUUAGGCUGGCUAUAUGGUAGUGUAACAGAAGAUGUCCUUACUGGACUCUUUAUCCAAUCAAGAGGCUGGAAAUCCGCCUACUGUUUACCCGACCCGGCUGCUUUUCUUGGAUGUGCACCUACAGCUGGGCCUGCCACAAUGAUCCAACAAAA